UCCGGCUUAUCACCGGCAGUCCCCCUAGAGUGCCCAACUAAAUGAUGGCAACUAAGGGCGAGGGUUGCGCUCGUUGCGGGACUUAACCCAACACCUCACGACACGAGCUGACGACAGCCAUGCAGCACCUGUCUUACGGCUCCCGAAGGCACCCUCCUGUUUCCAGGAGGUUCCGUAGAUGUCAAGUCCAGGUAAGGUUCUGCGCGUUGCUUCGAAUUAAACCACACGCUCCGCUGCUUGUGCGGGUCCCCGUCAAUUCCUUUGAGUUUUAGUCUUGCGACCGUACUCCCCAGGCGGGCUACUUAAUGCGUUAGCUACGACACCGAAAGGCAGACCCUUCCGACAUCCAGUCGUCAUCGUUUAGGGCGUGGACUAC
rnacentral:misc_RNA from 1 species